CUACGGGGGGCACCAGUGGGGAAUCUUAGACAAUGGGCGCAAGCCUGAUCUAGCCAUGCCGCGUGAGCGAUGAAGGCCUUAGGGUUGUAAAGCUCUUUCAGCGAGGAAGAUAAUGACUGUACUCGCAGAAGAAGCCCCGGCUAACUCCGUGCCAGCAGCCGCGGGUAAUACGGAGGGGGCUAGCGUUGUUCGGAAUUACUGGGCGUAAAGCGCACGUAGGCGGAUCAGAAAGUCAGAGGUGAAAUCCCAGGGCUCAACCUUGGAACUGCCUUUGAAACUCCUGAUCUUGAGUUCGAGAGAGGUGAGUGGAAUUCCGAGUGUAGAGGUGAAAUUCGUAGAUAUUCGGAGGAACACCAGUGGCGAAGGCGGCUCACUGGCUCGAUACUGACGCUGAGGUGCGAAAGCGUGGGGAGCAAACAGGAUUAGAUACCCCAGUAGUC
rnacentral:rRNA from 1 species